CCCUUAGAUGUCCUGGGCUGCACGCGCGCUACACUGGAAGUUACGGAUUGAGAUACUACCUUGUCCGAAAUGGUCCGGGUAAUCACCUAAAAGCUUGUCAUAAUUGGAAUGGAUUAUUGUAACUAGUAAUCCUGAACGAGGAAUUCCUAGUAAGUCCCAGUCAACAGCUGGUACUGAUUACGUCCCUGCCCUUUGUACACACCGCCCGUCGCUACUACUGAUUGGACGUUUAAGCAAGAUUUUUAAACACUGACAGUGUGUAGUUCACGCUAUACUACAGUGAGAAGAAGAAGAUCGAGCUUACUUGUCUAGAGGAAGUAAAAGUUGUAACA
rnacentral:rRNA from 1 species